rnacentral:misc_RNA from 1 species
AACGCACAUUGCGCCCUUUGGUAUUCCGAAGGGCAUGCCUGUUCGAGCGUCAUUAUAACCACUCAAGCCUGGCUUGGUAUUGGAGUUCGCUAUCGGCGGCUCCUAAAAUCAGUGGCGGUGCCUGUAGGCUCUACGCGUAGUAAUACUUCUCGCUAUAGGGUCCUGCGGGUGACUUGCCAACAACCCUAAUUUUUUCAGGUUGACCUCGGAUCAGGUAGGGAUACCCGCUGAACUUAA